AUGCCGAGGGGGGUCCGGGCAGGCGCGGUGCGGGUGGCACGGGGACCAGCGGAGCACUCGGUGCCGGGGGACCAUCCCUUGGGGCACUGUGCGAGCACCGCCACGGGAAAAAUAAAACCCCGGGCAGCUCCGAGGCGUGGGAAGAAGCCGAGGGACCGCGGGCAGGGCCGGGCACGGCGGCUGCUGCCAACAAAGCGGCACGGACAAAGACCCCGUCCUCCUCCUCCCUGCAUCCCCUCCGCCAGAUUUCUCCCAAACAUGAACAUGGACAAAGCGGUCUGGAAACCUAAUCAUGAGUUACAGGCACCCUCACAACACCAAAACAGGAAACAUUUUCAGAAGCCCUCAAGCCUGUAGGAUCCAGGGUAACCAGCACAGCUCCACUGCAAGACCUCAUUCACUCCUUCCAGAGAUGGCAUUUGGGGCUCCAAGAACCAUAAAUUUCAAGUUUUAGACUAUGUCAACCAUUGACUCUGUCAGUUACCUCAUUUCCUCUCCCACCCAUUCCACAUUCAUCUACUUUUACUAUUUUCAAUCAGAUUCAGCAGUAACACAACAGUAGUGAGGCAGUAAUAAUGAAAAUAUGGUAUUUUCUUUUGCUCCACAUGUCCUGAAAAGAUGCUGUCACCUCAGAUAGAUAAAAAAGCUAACCGUCUAUCCACAAUGGAGGAUGCAGAUAACAUUAAGUAUGUAUUCCCCCUUCUGAAAGGCAUUGUGAAUCACCACAUUAUUAAUAUAUACGUCAUCCCCAGGCAAAAUUAUACCACAAUUAAAACUAUCAGCAUGUCUUAGACUUCACCUUGGACCUUAAUGAGGAACACCAAGAUAUAUUUCUUCCUCAUACCAUUGAGCUUUGCCUAGUAAUUGUAUAUUUUAAUUAGCAAUGUUCAAGUUUAAGUAGCACAUUUUGGCUUUAUGACAGCCAGUGACCGACUGAUACUAGUCCUGUAGGUGCGUUCCCUGACUUGGCACCACAAGAGGCAAAAACACAAUCCCAGAGGUCCUGCUUUUUGCAGUCAAGGUGUAAUGAGCUUCACUGGCCCAUAAAGACUUUUCCCUUAUCUUUUCCUUUACUCAGUACUGUAAUUUCUUCUGCACAAUUGGAUUCCUUUUCUUCAGAAGCUAAGUUAGUAUACGAUGCAUUUUCCACCUUUGAAGUGCCCAUGCAAAGGUAGGCAUGUGGUUUUACUGUUCGAAUAAUUCAGCUGGGGGACUGCUGAGCAAAAGUUCUAAACCUUCUGCUUUGGAAGAUAACAUUUUAAUGUUGGUUUUGUAUCUUUGAUUUUUGGGAAUGAUUUAAGAGAUAAGAUUUGCACCUCAAGAACUCAAUAUUUCUUUAAUAUUAGUUUACACUAAAAUUGAAAAUCUAAUCUUGUGUCCUUUUUCCUUCCAAUUCCGAUUUUAUUUGCUCCUGUAUUAGUCAUUGGUGAACUAUUUUAUUUAUUAAACAAUAAAUAUCAUAUAUAUAGAUUUCUUUACCUUGCUAUUUCUGUCGUUAGUAUUAUACACCAUAGUUAAUAUUUUAACCUUGGAGCACAGUCUGAGCUACUACUUUAUGAGAUCUGAUGCACAGAAAAAGUCCUUACUUAUUUCUAUCGCUAAUAUUGAAUAUUAGUGUAAAACAACUACAAAUUUGUUUACAGGAUUUAAGAGGUAUGUGGGAACUAAAAGCACCAAUUCAGAAUAAAUUCAACAAACCAUUUUAGGCCCAAUACAAAAAGUACAGAACUCAAACCAACUACUCAAUCACUUUUUCCUUCCCCCCCCCCCCCAAGGAAGAACUUAAAUAAUUGGUCUGAAAAAUUUAUAAGAAAACAAAUAUUUUCUUCACCAUUAACACAGUAUUUUGCUCGUUCAUCUUGAUGGACUCUGAAUGAAUGUUAGUAGAGUAUCGAAACAAAAGCAAACCGUGCAAGUUUUUAGAUUCACUUUCCAGAAGGCAAAUUAAUGACUUUAACACUGCCUGGGUCAUUCAGAGUCCAUUAGAGUCACAUUUGAGGAGGAUGCAGCUCCAUUUCAGUCUCACCUUCAGCAAACGUCUCCGAUUUUUACUGUCUGUAGGCAGGAACCCCUUGGACAACCAGCUGGACCAGCCGCUCAGGGAAGGGUAACGACCACACAGGGACUGUGUCAUGGAGUUUCUGCCCCAGAGAAAAGUCAACAUGGAUGGGUUGCAUUCAGCUUGCAGGAGCUGACAUUGCAUGUGGUAUAGGUGAAUGUCAAAUGUUAUCUUUUAUCUCCAAACAUGAGCUCAAAGUGUAUCCUGCCAGGUCUGGAAAAUUUGGUAAAGCAAUAAUACAUGCAAUCAGGGAUUUAUCUGAUACAGACAACUCCCAUUUUCUAGACAUGGCUGUAAGGGUUGUACAUGGAGAAACAUCCGGCUUUUCUUUUCUUUCUUUCUUUUUUUUUUUUUUUUUAAUUUCCUAAAAGAGUAGCAAGUUUUCUACUUCUCUUCAUUGUCCUUUAAGAGAUUGACCAAAAAAUGAGACUUCACCAUUACAAUUUUCAUUUAAAGUCUUUCUUUUCAUUGGUUAGUAUUUCUAAUGCUCUAUGCCUGCAGUUAGAUUGUUAAAACAAAUUUAGUUCACCAUUUAUAUAUCCACAUAUCCUUUAAACCUAAGUUUCCACUUAUUGUUUAAUUUCAGAAAAUAUUUUAGCAGAAUGUAACCAGUAUGAGAACAUGACUUGAUUUUUCCAGACUGCUCUGUGUUUUCUUUCAAUUUGAAAUAAUGAAUGAAUAAAUGUACAUGUUAAAACUAAUGUAAACCUUUUAAAAGCUUAAUCUCAGGUGAUUUGUCUGAGAGAACUGCAAGCUUUCAAAGUUGUGGUAACAGCCUAGGCAAUAUUAAGCUCUCUUGCCUGAACAGUAGUGUAAAUAUGAACUAGAUAUUGAUUUAAGAAUUAUUAUGGAUCUGUACCAGUCUGACUAUGGAACUCAAACCUUAUAAUCUGUGUAAUACAAUAGAGUCAGAAUAAUUUUUUCUUUCUUCACAAAGAAUUUUCUUAUUCUGUUUAGAUUUUUGCAAUUAAUAAAAUGCAUUUUAACUUGUUCUGAACGUUUUUGAUAUCUUGGUAGGAAGCCAAAAGCCUUUUCUGCAAACAUCUGGUCCUCAAGUGUCACAUCUGGAAAAGCUAGCAUUUUCAAGUUUUGCUACAUUUCACUUUGUUUUUCA
ensembl:lncRNA